ensembl:lncRNA
AUGGGGCCACUCUGUGGGGACAAGCUGCUGAAAAACUGGGGCUCCCGCCUUCAGCCAGCCCCUGGGGAAGUCAUUUGGACUCCAAGCCAAAUAUGGGUGGGAAGGAUACCAAUUAGCAGCUUGCUGGAUCGCUCAGUGGAAAGGCUAGACUUGGAAUCAGCAACACCAUCAUCAUUAACUUAUUCUCACUUGCUGAGCACCUAUCACAAAGUAAGCAUUGUGUGGGCAAAGCAGGGGAUUCUGAGACAGGCAAGUUCCUGCCUUCAAGGAGCUCCAAACUUACUGGAGGAGGUGCACACUCAGCCUCACAACAAUCCUGUGCUUAUCAUCUCCCUUCUAGAGGUGUGGAAACGGAGGACAUCUAGCCAAGGUAAAUCAUUUACCCAGGAUCCUCAGCUGGCAAGUGGUGGAGCCAGGAUUCAAACUCAAGCUUUGGCUUUAGAGGCCACGCCUGCGGUCCCUACAACCAGCGCAAUGGACAACGCAGAUAAGUGCCGUGGGGGAACACGCAGGGGUGGGCGCUGAAGGGCUGAAGAGCAUUGCUAAGACACUUUGACAGAAUCAUUAACAAAAAAUAAGCCGCCAGCACUCAGUUGCAAAAGCAGCAGCUCCUGAAACCACCAUCUUCUACACAUUCCGAGGGCCACAGAAGGCUUCUGGAUGACCAGAGUGAGUGAGGGGGCAAGCCAAACGAGAGGCCUGCCCAGCCCAGGCCCUCCCCACCAACUCCCACGGGUCACAGUCUUCCCCUCUGAGAUGAGCAGAACCACCACCACUGAAAUGAUCUUUCACGGCCCCAAAGAACUGCCCUGUCUGUGCCAGUCACUUGGCACUUAAUUGUGUCCAGCCUGUGCCUGCUAUUCCACCCUGGGCUCAAACUGUAUUGAAAAUAAACUGAUUUAUAACUCUGCCAGUGCGCAAUGCAUCCUCCCAACUGGACUGUGAACCUCUUGUAAGACAGUUAGAACUGUGCUCCCCUCACAAUCCUGUGUCCACAAGUCUGGGACAGACCAGAUCACAAAUAUUUUGCCACAUGCUAGGUAAUGAAUCUAUGGUUUUUUUGUUUGUUUUUGGAGAGAUGGUGUCUCGCCAUGUUGCCUGUGGCUGGUCUCAAAACUCCUGGCUUCAAGUGAUCCUCCCGUCUUGGUCUGUCAAAGUGCUGGGAUUCCAGGCAUGAGUCACCUGGUUUGGUCUGAAUCUAUGGCUCUUGUAUGUCUACUAACAUUAUCUUCUAACGAUACUCUCAGUAAAUUAUUCAUCUGUGUAUCCCGUGAGUCUAGAACAGAGCUUGUAAGACAGCAGUCCAGUUAAGACUUCUUUUGAAGAAAUCUUAAUUCCACCUUGGAAGAAAGGCUUCAUCCAAGAGGUUGGGAUCUCAAGGGUGAAUGGGAAUUAGGCAGAUGAGGGAGGCUCGGGAGGAAUCAUCAGGGGUCAGAGGGAGUGUGAGGGUGUUGUAUAUGUGACUGUGUGGCCAGAAAUGGUCCGAGCACCCAUGGAGGAGCAAUUAACCUUGAAGAGAAUCAGAAGACAUUAGAACUGGAGGGAGUGAGGAAAGCAAGGAAGCGUAGGCAGGCAGGUUUGCAGGUCUGAUGUCAGAAGGCUGAGGAUGUUUCCAUAUGAUGGCUUCUAUUUUCUCUCUGAAGAUGGCAGUAAAGGUAUCUUCUAAGGAGGAGGAGGGAAGGAGGUGGGAGGGGGAAAGAUGGGAGGUUUGGGGAGCAAAAACCAAGUUUUGAAAUAGCCAUUGAGAAGAAAGGAGAGGCCGCGUGAGGUGGCUCAUGUCUGGUAAUCCCAGCACUUUGGGAGGCUGAGGCUGGAGGAUCACUUGAACCCAAGACUUCAAGACCAGCCUCAGCAACAUGGCAGAACCCCACUCUGCAAAAAUUACUAAAAAUUAGCCAGGCAUGGCAGUGCAUGCUUGUAGUCCCAGCUACUCGGGAGCCUGUGAUUGCACCACUGCACUCUAGCCUGGGUGAAUGGGCGAGACCCUGUCUCACCUUCCAAAAACAAAAAGGAAGAAAAGAGAACCCAGGGGUGGGGAUGGAAGUGCAGGACUGAGGGUCUAAUUGAGGUUGGAGACUCCGUGUUUCUGUUACACCAAGGUGUGUGGCUGGCAAGAUUUCUUCAGUACCCAUGUGUUGGUGAACUGAUUUGGCUUGGGGUUUCAUCGGAUGGAAGGAGGCCUUUGAGAAUGUGAAGGUAAUGGGCCAGGAUGGGGAAGAAACAGGUGGAUGGAGAGGUGGAAAGCAGACAGCAAUGGACAGGAAGCCCAAAGAUGGUGGAAAACUUACCAGAAGUGACUCAAGUAGCUGGAAGUGGAAGAGAUUGUGGCUGGGGCCAUCAGAGGAGGUGUCGAUGCUGUUGAUAAGGUUCCCAAUGUGGCCCCGAGGUGGGAGGCUGAUGUGAACAUGAGGAGGUCAAGAAACUGGUGCUGAAAGCCCUGUACUGAGAAGGGGGCCCUGCUCCCCGAAACUCAAACAGAUACCCUAGAAGCAUCCACCCAGAGUCCAGAGCUCCGGGAAUGCAUCAGUCCCACAACCUCAUUUUAAAACCAGGGACACUGAAAGGGUCCGGACCUGACCCAAGGUGACGAACGAGGUUUGAUACUAAUGGGGCCACUCCCCGUUCCACCACGCCCAGGCCGGGGCUCUCCUUCCCCUGGACACUCUCCUUCCCCUGGACACUCUCCUUCCCCUGGACACUCUCCCCCAGAAAGAAGCAGAGGCAGGCGAUGCUAGGAAGAGUAGGAGAGAAGGAGGCUGCGGGUCCUUGUCGCCUCCAGGCGGGGCAUGGCAGCUCGCAAUCCACUGACCUGGGGCUCAGGGCCUCCGCCCUCCCGGCCUAGCGGCGCCACCCUAUCCCACCCGACUCAGGCCACUUCCGGUCGGUAGGUCACGCCGGAAGCACGUGGCCCCCCACCCCGCGGCGUU